GGGACUGGAAAGGACAGAACAAAAAUAGCUCAUAAGAAGUUGAUAGCAAGGAAGAGACAUAGCAAAAAAGCACUUAGCUGCCCUUGAUGAGCUCAAGUCACACAGGCCAGAUGAAUAGAGACAGAAGGAAGUUGCCUGGACCAGCCAAGAUGGUAAAAUAAAGGUCAUCAAGGAGAGACAAAUAAAGAGGUCUACAGACACUGGGGAUGGAACAUACUGCCUGGAGAGACACUAGGGUAUUCUUUAAGACCUCCCUCUCCUCCUCAUCUCACAUCAUUCAGAUGCCCCCCUCCACUAUCUGCUCCUUCAUGUCUCAGAUGAAGAGGUAGCACUUCUUGCCAAGGGUAACCCCUUGUACAAAUAAUUCCAUUCCAUUUUGUCUUCUCCAGGACAUUGCCUUCUCUAUCAUCUCUUCAAUCUUUUUAGAUGAUAGGGAAGCAUCCAGCAGAGAGGAAGGUUGAGAAGUGAAAGGAGAGCACACGGAAGCAGCUAGUAUGGAUGGUUUUCUCAAGGAGCUAAUUUUAGAAGAAAAGAAUAUUAGAUGA